rnacentral:rRNA from 1 species
AUACGGAGGGUGCAAGCGUUAAUCGGAAUUACUGGGCGUAAAGAGUACGUAGGCGGUUUGUUAAGUUAGAUGUGAAAGCCCCGGGCUUAACCUGGGAACUGCAUUUAAAACUGGCAAACUGGAGUUGGGUAGAGGGAAGUGGAAUUUCAGGUGUAGCGGUGAAAUGCGUAGAGAUCUGAAGGAACACCAGUGGCGAAGGCGACUUCCUGGACUCAAACUGACGCUGAGGUACGAAAGCGUGGGUAGCAAACGGGAUUAGAAACCCCAGUAGUCC